GACGAACGCUGGCGGCGUGCCUAAUACAUGCAAGUUGAACGCUGAAGGCUGGUACUUGUCCCAACUGGAUGAGCAGCGCACGGGUGAGUAACGCGUGUGGCAUCUCCCUUUGAUCGGGGGACAACAUUUGGAAACGAAUUCUAAUACCGCAUAAAAACUUUAAACACAAGUUUUAAGUUUGAAAGAUGCAAUUGCAUCACUCAAAGAUGAUCCCGCGUUGUAUUAGCUAGUUGGUGAGGUAAAGACUCUCCAAGGCGAUGUUACAUAGCCGACCUGAGAGGAUGAGUGGCCGCAUUGGGAGUGAGACACGGCCCAAAGUCCCUCAGGAGGCAGCAGGAGGGAUUCUUCGGCAAUGGGUGAAAGUCUGACCGAGAAACGCCGCGGCAGGGAGGAAGGAUGUCGGAUCGGAAAACUCGGUUGUUAGAGAAGAACGUUGGUGAGAGUGGAAAGCUCAGCAAGUGACAGUAACUACUCAGAAAGGGACGGCUAACUACGUG
rnacentral:rRNA from 1 species